rnacentral:rRNA from 1 species
CCUACGUGGGGCUGCAGUGGGGAAUAUUGGGCAAUGGGCGCAAGCCUGACCCAGCAACGCCGCGUGAAGGAAGAAGGCUCUCGGGUUGUAAACUUCUUUUAUCAGGGACGAAGCAAGUGACGGUACCUGAUGAAUAAGCCACGGCUAACUACGUGCCAGCAGCCGCGGUAAUACGUAGGUGGCAAGCGUUAUCCGGAUUUACUGGGUGUAAAGGGCGUGUAGGCGGGAAAGCAAGUCAGAUGUGAAAACCAUGGGCUCAACCUGUGGCCUGCAUUUGAAACUGUUUUUCUUGAGUACUGGAGAGGCAGACGGAAUUCCUAGUGUAGCGGUGAAAUGCGUAGAUAUUAGGAGGAACACCAGUGGCGAAGGCGGUCUGCUGGACAGCAACUGACGCUGAGGCGCGAAAGCGUGGGGAGCAAACAGGAGUAGAUACCCGAGUAGUC